CAAAGGCGAGGGGCAGCUUGGCUGGGGGCUCUGGGAGGGAGCAGAGAGAAAGGGAGCUUAGCGAUGGGGCAGAUGGGGCCUGGACAUGGAUGGGGAGCUUUAGAGGGGCAGGUGUGGCAGAGGAGAGUGGUUUUGGGGCAGGCUGGCUGGGGUAAGGCCGAGUGGAGCUGCCUCUCCAGUCAGGAGCAGCUCAGCUACAGGCAAUGACAAUCCCAGGAGGUGGUAGGUGCUAACUGUCCUCACCAAAUGGGUGCAUUUCAGCCUGCCCUUGGCCAAACUGUAUCUGGUUUGUAGUCACAAGAGGGAAAAAAAACCUCAUGGACUGAGCACAUGGCCUCCCAAGCUGUAGUCUUGGCUCUCAGUCUUGGUGUUGAACUUGGUAGGUUGUUGAGCCUUUGUGUGCUUUGGUAUCUCCAUCUAUGAAGCAGAGAUAACAGUUGGCUUCAUGCAGGGAUUAAUUAUCGCAUCUUGUAGUCACGUAUUUGUUUAUUUGUUUUUACUAUAGAUUACAGCUGGAGGAAUUCUAAACAGUCCACUUCUCCUUGUCUUGGUGUUUGAGCGCAUUGUGCUCCUGUCUGAACAGAGGAAAUCACUGAGUAUCUUGGCAGAGCUGUCUUUCACAUACUAAGGCAUACCUCGGGUUCGAGUAGAACCCUGCUCUUACGUCAAGCUCAAACCUCAUCGCUGCUCCCUGCGUUCAGCUGGAAAGGGACGGACACCAUUUAUGACUGAAUAUCCUGAGUCACCGAUUCCCAGCUGGCAUGUGCGCUGCAGUUCCAUCUCUUCCUUUCCGACUGCACUCCCUAGAGGAGAUUGGGAACAAUUGCAGUCGUCAGCUCCAGCGUGGCGUGUGCUUGUCGGGAACCACACAAUUGGUGGACAACCUCUGACUACGUCUAUGGGGUGAGCUGCCUGUGAUUUGUUACUGUAAGCCUGGUGUUUCCAUACAGGAAAAUAGAACAGGUGUAUGGAUAUUUUUAAAAAUUAGUUUCUUUACUAGUAAAAUAUCUGCGUUGUGGAGAUGGUGAUAGGAUGUCUUCAUUAAAUAAUUGGUGAAGACCAGUGAUAAAUUGUGUGAAAGUGGAUGAAAACUAAGAAUCUGGAGAGAUGAUAAAAGGUGAAGUAGUUACUCCCUACACUGGCAAAGCUCAUGCUAGCAGGAGCACGGGUCCACCAUGCAGGAGCCAACAGGUUAUGUGUCAGACACUCCUGUCGUGCUGUGUUUGUUAUCUUGCUAGUGUCCCAAAGUGUCCCAAAGAAAGGCUGCUGAAGCUCAGCAGGGAAAUAAUGCAACAUGUCGCUUUGUUAUUUGAUCUGACCCAAACAUUUUCACCAUAUAAUGCUUGCUGCUAGUCUUGUGCGUGGCUCUGGGGGAGGCUGAAACACAAAGCACUUCACUGAGCUUUUUGAUCCAACAGGUCUUGACAUAUUGCUGCUGGACACGUCUCUGUGUCUGAUCUGAACUGCGACAGUUCCAUUCUGUCCUGCUAAAAUAACAACAUAUUAAACAAUACUUUCUGUCCAUGCUGUUUCCACCUAUUGACUAAAAAGUUAAAUUCUUACUAAGCUAGUUUUAAUUUACAUGUCAUGAAAUAUUAGUUAAUGGUCAGCUGAUUUCCCUGGCAUGAAGACAGUAAAGUAUAUAACAGAUUAAUGCUUGCCCGGGACCAAAUGAGUUGAAGCAGCUUCUGCUGAAACACAGAGAUGAAAUGCAGUGAAAUACAGAGAUGCUCUGCCAAUCAAACCUGUUUGCAACAGGUCACCAGUGUUUGCCUGGGACAGUCCAUCCUGUUAGCAGGCACUGAUCCUGCUAUGGAGGAGAUAUGUGCCUUGUGCUGACUCAUGGAAGUAGGUGCAAGUUGCAUCAAUGACGUAAGAAAUGGCUCACCUUAGAAGCGGGACGUAGGUUUUGGUGUAAGAACUGCUUAAGAACCACCUUUAGAAGAAAGUUGAGGGGAAAGAAUAUAUGAGAGAAACUUUGAAGUCUGACUUGGUGAAAUUCUGAUCUUCCUGUUGCAUCAGGGGCUCGUUCCAAAUGAAGUAGGUGCACAACUGUUAAUACCCUGCCUGAAGGGUCUUGGGAAAACAUGCACUGUAGCUGCAGACAGCAGUAGUCCUAAGGGGACUUUUCUGGAGUGGGUUGGCUGACAACUUCCAUACAGAGUUACUCCCUUGUUCCUCCUUUAUAGAUCUGACUCAUCUGUCCGAAAUACACCAGUUUCAGUUUUUUCUUUUCUCUCCUGUCAUUUACCUCAUGUUUCAUAUCCUUCAAGCUUCUUUUUGUAUCUCUGGGCUUAAUUCUGUUAAAUCCAGUUGCUUUGGCUUCUACUCUGCCUGUGCUUUGCACCUGCUACAGAACCCCAGCAAACUUGGCAACCAACCCUUGGGCACUCCAGAGAAAACAACUGUCUAGACCAGGCACCUUCUGCCCGAUGCCCUGGAUGUACCCCAGAGCUCCCAGGCAUUACUUUGUAUUCAGAACAACAUGUUGCUAUGCAAAUGGUUCCUUUCUGCUCUUCCUUUUACUUCCACAGAGAUAUGAGCACCCAGCUUCUCAGCAGGCACUAGACUAACAUUUAGUGAUCUUUUACAAAGAUCUGAUGCAAAGGAGGAUUGAUAAAAUCUUGUCCGGUGUUUUUGUGAACUCAUAAUUGCACCUGCCUCCUCCUAGGGAGUGAGUGAGCCAACAGAACAAACAACACCUUCUGCAGAGGCCUUAAAAGAGCCUCUGGUAUCCAGCAGAAUUCAGAAAGGUGUGUUACUCUUUCCUAAAAGGAAGAGAAAUCAAAUCUUGGUGUAAAGAGUCCUGUGGCAUGGGCAGGGCAGAGAAGCCUUAAUGCAAAGUCACAAGCCAUUCCAGUUAAAGCCCCAGUUGCCCUAGGCAAACACAGAGCCUGUCAGCGUCCUGCAGCUUUCAUACAGAGAUGUGACCAAAAUAGCUCCACAACUUUACAAUGUGGCUUAAAAUAGCUUGCAGGUCAGCUUUUUUCUCAAAGGUAGUGGUGACACCAGGGGGAGAGCACUCUUGCUGCUGUUCAGUGCAGGUAGAACUGGGAUAAACAAAGCAGAGACAGCAGCAGUCUAAUUAGCUAAGUAGCCUUGAGGAAAGAGAGAGAAGGGGUAAGAAAGGACUAAGGAGGUGCAGUGGAGAGAUGGACUAAAGUGUCAAAGGCGUGGUUUGACCCGCUGCCACUGGCCAAGUUAGUGUGCUUAUACACAAACAACUUCUCCCUGGGUUUGGUUUCCAUGACGUUUAAGAGUUAUCAGUCUGUUCCUGUCUCCUUGUGGCCCAUGUCAGGAUGUGUCACUGGACUGGCUGGCCAGCCAGCACAGCGUGUUUCUUGCUCCUCAUUUCCAGACAGUGAACACAGCCCAUGACAUCACCUCUGGCCAGCGGUGGAUCAGAGGCCAGGCCAUGGCAGUGUCAAGUGUGUUUUGCCGUAGCCAUUCAACCAGAGAGUUGAUCUUUUACAGUGCAAUUUGCAUUUGGAGAAAUCUAGAUGGCCCUUCAUUCUGGGGGGAUUUCAGUAUUUGUUCUUGGGCCAAAAAUAGACUGUUUUUGUGGGGUUGAACUGUCUGUUUUUGUAGAGCAUUACAUUUUACCAAAGGAACAAAGCUGUUCACCAUGAUCCUCGGAGUCUUAGUCUCUGUUGUGUAUACUAAGUCUGGCCAUGGAGAUGAGUCUCAGCCAAGUCUGGGAGUUAAGUGCCUGAUUUGGAACGUUACAGGAAUCUAAUGUAGGUUAUGUGAGGUUUGCCAUGCCUGCAGCCCCUGUGCUGCUGAGGUAAGUGUACUGCAGCAGGCUGUGCUAGUGAGAAUUUCCUUUGUGCUGCAGGUUUCAUGCCUAGUGCUUUUAUAGCACUGAAGGAGGGGAAGGAGGCAACAAGAAUGUGAAAAAUCAAGGCCAGGUCAUUACUGUCAGGCGAGGACAGAGUCCUGUAGCCAGUCAGAUGUGACAGAACACACUUGCUGAUGCUGCUACCAGGAAGCUUGAGAGAAAUGUGACUGAGUGAGAGCAGUGCGCAUGUGCCUGUGGAGAAAGGAGGCUAUCUGUGAGCUCUUGCAAUGCUUUUCUCUGCCCAGCAACAUCAUUGCUUCUAUUCCUUGUGUUCUGCUUAAGCAGCUGUUUCUGCGUUUAUGAUCCAAUCUAUUCUUCAUACAGGGCCAUCUUCACACUGAGCACCUUCACUGUCACAGCGCUUACUGGAGAUGAAGGACUGACAGGACCUCAGAGGUCAAAGUCCACUGCAAGCAGUGACCGAUACAAUCCCCCGCGUAAGUCAGGCUGGACUGCCUGCGCCUCAGGUCCUAACAGCAGGGUGGUUUGUGCAAGAGCACUUUGGAAGGUGUUUGUGAGGAUUUCUGUGUUCUUAUGAUGGUCCUAGGGAACAGGAGGAGAUCCAGAACUGUCUGAAAGCCCAGAGCCAGGAUUCUUUGCAAUCCCAGAGAAGUAAUGAGGGGAGAUUUGGCUGAGGCCAUCCCACUAGCCUGCCUCCCGUCCUGCUUCUUGUAUGUGUCCAAGAAGCUGCCUCCAGUUUAUACAAUUGCACUCUAGUAAACAAUUUUUCAUGCAGAUAUGGGCAGCAGAUGUUACUCAUGCCUGUGUGAACACUUCAACGUCUUUA